GGGGGAGGGAAGAGGUGGUGUUGCUUUAUUUUCUUUGAACGGGUUCCAUUGUUCUUGUUUUGUCUGUGGGGAAGACGAAUCUCAAGAGUUGUAUACUGCAUUACGUACUUUGAUAAGGCCCUGUCAUGGAUCCAUCAUAUAAAUAUUAUUGCAAAGAAAGCACAACAUCGCCUUUGCUUCCUCAGGAGUCUGCAGAGUUUGGCAUGUCAUCGAAACCUUGGCAAACAUCUAUAGAUGUGUGGUGGAAAGUGUGCUGACUGGCUGCUUUAUGACCUGUUAUGGGAACACUAAUGUCUCUGAGUGGAAAAUCUUACAAAAGCAUGGAAUGGGCAGAUGGAGCUUAGGAGAAGAUAACCUCUGAUCUCAAACUGCUGCCAUACAGCUAUACCCACUCAUGGGGAAGGCUUCAGGAGUAAACCCCGAGGAAAAAUCUGGAGCUGGAGCCCUAUGGUAACCUCAUCGCUGACUGGCAACUCCUGUGAUGCCACUGGUGCCAAACUGUAUUGGUCUUUGCCGUUCAUUUGGGUUCGUCAUCUGCAUGGAGAAGGGGAGCUUGCUACAUUGGCAACAGCUUGCUCUCCAUAUCUUACUGGACUGAUGUGCAUAUCUAGACAAAUAGGCCCUUCUGCUCAGUAAUUCUCUGACUUAAUAACCAAUGUACAAUAUCCAAUUGUCCUACCAACCAGUACAUUUUGGACUACAGGAGGUAACCAGAACACCCUGAGGAAAUCCACACGGUCACUGGGAAAACUCCUUACAAACAGUGGUGGGAAUUGAACCCGGGUCCCCUGUACUGUACUGUGCUAACCACUACACUACACUACACUAUCGUGGUGCUCUGCAUCAGAGCAGAGUAUUCCAUUCAAUACAUACAAAAUAUGUAUAAAUAGCU